GAUUAACGCUGGCGGCGUGCAUAACACAUGCAAGUCGAACGAUGAAACUUAAAUGAUUUCUUCGGGAUGAACUUAAGUGGAUUAGUGGCGGACGGGUGAGUAACGCGUGAGUAACCUGCCUUACACAGGGGGAUAGCCGUUGGAAACGACGAAUAAUACCCUAUGAAACUAUCACUUCGCAUGAAGCGAUAGUCAAAGUGUUAGCGGUGUAAGAUGGACUUGCGUCUGAUUAGCUAGUUGGUGAGAAAAAAGCCCACCAAGGCAACGAUCAGUAGCCGGCUUGAGAGAGUGUACGGCCACAUUGGGACUGAGACACGGCCCAGACUCCUACGGGAGGCAGCAGUGGGGAAUUUUGCACAAUGGGGGAAACCCUGAUGCAGCGACGCCGCGUGAUUUAGAAGGCCUUCGGGUUGUAAAAAUCUUUUGUAUAGGAAGAAAAUGACAGUACUAUACGAAUAAGGUCCGGCUAAUUACGUG
rnacentral:rRNA from 1 species